CAGCCGCCGCGGGAAUACGGAGGAUCCAAGCGUUAUCCGGAAUCAUUGGGUUUAAAGGGUCCGUAGGCGGUCUUGUAAGUCAGUGGUGAAAGCCCAUCGCUCAACGGUGGAAAGGCCAUUGAUACUGCAGGACUUGAAUUAUUGGGAAGUAACUAGAAUAUGUAGUGUAGCGGUGAAAUGCUUAGAGAUUACAUGGAAUACCAAUUGCGAAGGCAGGUUACUACCAAUUGAUUGACGCUGAUGGACGAAAGCGUGGGUAGCAAACAGGAUUAGAUACCCGAGUAGUCCCUGUCUCUUAUAC
rnacentral:rRNA from 1 species